rnacentral:piRNA from 1 species
UCAUUUUGAGCCAUGGUCCAGGAAUGCCA